rnacentral:lncRNA from 1 species
GUAUUUCCGCGGGCGCUGAGCACUAGAGAGAGCGUCUUGUGGCUGCGGCCUGCCCCUCAGCCUCCUCCGCGCGGUUACCCCUGUACCCGCCGCCAUCCGUCCUGGCGCUCCGGAUGAGUCAAUGAGGGGCAGGGCCCGAGGAGUGGUCUUCCCAAGAACCCCUGGUGGCCUCCCAAGGCCGGCCUCGUGGGCUGUGCGGCUAUCCUGGAGACAGAUGACAGCUCUCCCUUGGAUGGCUUUGCUGGUUCCGCACCAGCCAGCGCCCCCAUUUUUCCUGCAGCACCCUGAUCUGCACUCCCUGAGGGGCUCCCACUGUCCGCGGUGUGAGGAUGUCCCUGGAAAUUGGUCUUCUGUGACUUUCUUGAUGGGGGCAGAUGAGAUCUUUGUACUGCAUUAAGUGGAUAGCGCUCAGGUCCUUUGGGCUUGGCGCUUUGGCAAUCUCCAGGCAGCUCACUUUGGCCUCUGUUCCUGGAUCCCCUUUGCUCUUUUCUGCGCCUGCAUUCAUAGUCCACUGUGUGCAGAGGCAUGGGAGUUGUCAUGUUGGGAACAUGCUAGACCUCAGUAUCCUUGAGGGAUGCUGCCUUGGGUCUGGAAACUGUUAGAGGAAACCCCAAGAGGUGCAGGCACUGAGCCUCUCAGGACAAUGACCUGGGGUCCCAGCUCCCCUGGAGGGGCCUCCUCAUGAUUGUUUGGGGGUUGAUCACAGACCAAGAGUGACGAGUGAUGUCACCCUGUGACUCAUGGCUGGACCUUCUUGCCCCUAUUGUCUCAGCACAACAUUAUUCGACUUUUCCCUCAGCGUGGGUGGGCAGAGGAAAAGCCCUGUGGCUCUGGGGACUUGGGAUCCAGAGUUGAAGACCCUUCAGCUGGCUCUGCCCUGCCAGUGCCACAGAGUGCCAUGGCCCAGGAAGACAGGUUUUCUUCCAUCUAGGCCAGGCCAUCCAGUGGCCAUCCUCCGUGUCCUCCCGCCUCCUCCUGGUGUGACUUCUGAAAACCAAGAAUUUGUUCCUGUUGACUUUUUCUGUGCUAUGGACCAUUGUCCUCUCACCCACUCAAUAAAUCUUGAAACAUGC